GUCAAAACCCAAUGAAUGUCGAAUUUCUUUCAAAGUGGUUCCAUGGGCUCCAAGCUCUAUCAUUCCCAUGGCUAUUGCAAUGCUCAGAGGACAGAAAAGAAUAUUCUCAUCUUCUCUUGCAGCUCGUAGCUGAUUGUAAACAUUCACAGAAAGCUCAGCAAUAGUUUCAUCAGGAAAAUUGGUCUUGAAGGCUUUACUUGGCAGAACGAGCAAAGACAAUAGUCCAAGGAAAUACAUGUUGUGAGACAUUAAGACCAGCUCAGCACAGAAGCUCAACACCACCCCCUCCACACUCCACCGUGGGAAGUGCUGCCGCCAC
rnacentral:lncRNA from 1 species